AUUGAACGCUGGCGGCAUGCCUUACACAUGCAAGUCGAACGGCAUCGCGGGAAAGCUUGCUUUCCUGGCGGCGAGUGGCGAACGGGUGAGUAACACAUCGGCAUGUACCGGCUAGUGGGGGAUAACCCGUCGAAAGACGGGCUAAUACCGCAUACGCUCUUCGGAGGAAAGCAGGGGACCUUUUGGCCUUGCGCUAGUCGAGCGGCCGAUGUCCGAUUAGCUAGUUGGUGGGGUAAAGGCCUACCAAGGCGACGAUCGGUAGCGGGUCUGAGAGGACGAUCCGCCACACUGGGACUGAGACACGGCCCAGACUCCUACGGGAGGCAGCAGUGGGGAAUCUUGGACAAUGGGGGCAACCCUGAUCCAGCAAUGCCGCGUGGGUGAAGAAGGCCUUCGGGUUGUAAAGCCCUUUCGGCAGGGAAGAAAUCGGCGGGGCGAAUAACCCUGCUGGAUGACGGUACCUGCAGAAGAAGCACCGGCUAACUACGUG
rnacentral:rRNA from 1 species